UACAACCACUAAGCGGCUCGAAAAUCGUAUUAUAUUUUAAAUUUAAAUUAUUAAUUAUAUAUAAAUCUUAAAUAAAUUUAAACUAUACUAUAAAAUAUUGUAUAAUAUUAUGUACAUUAUGUCGUCGUUCACUUACAUACCUACGCAUGCGAAAAACAGUUAUGUUACUUUUAAAUGCUACCUACUCGACACGAUGGAUAGAUUUGAAAACUUACUCUCACCAAGGAUCAAGAUUUUCAAGGAAGAAUUGGUGUGUAUCAAUUUUAAUUUGUUCAGUACACCAUUCAAGAAGAUACAAGUGCAGUAAAGCAACAAAAUGUUCCUGCCCGUACCAGACUCAUCCUUAAAUCCAAGUUGGUUAUAUUUAAUAUAAGAAAAUGUAUUGAAUCAUGUAUGAUUGUCUACUUCAGGAGUCUUUGUAUCAUCACAGUCUUAGCACAUUAAAUACUUUUUUCGUUGUUAAAUUAUGUCCUAGAAUGCAUGGAAGAUGGAAGUGCACACAAUUUAAUAUCAAGAUAUAUUUGUCUUCUAAACUUUAAAAAUAAAUACUCUCAGUCAUGACUGAUGGCUUUGCGAAACUAAUUACAGCCAUCAUAUGUGUUAUUUUAGACCAGUGUUUCUCAACCUAUGGUACACGUACCUCUGGGGGUAUGCGAAAAAAACUUAUUUCAUAAUAUCUUAUUUGUGUUGUGUGUGAAUAUACGAUAAAUUGUCAUUUGGGGGUACGUAAAGCAGUGGUGAGAGGUCAAGGGGCAUGUACAUAAAAAAAGGUUGAGAAACACUGUUUUAGACAAAUCCAGUUGGAAAUAAAAUGUAUUAAAGAUAAUCGCCGUUAAUAUUUCAUAUAUAAAAGUUAUCAAAAUGUUUUAAAUCAUUUAUGAUUGACAACUUUAAGAGUCUUUGUGUCAUAGUCUUAGCGCCAUAAAUAUUUUUUUUUGUCUAAGGAUGUGUGGAAGUGUACACAAAUCAAUAUCAAGAUAUAUUUGUCUUCUAAACUUUAAGAAUAAAAUACCUUCAGUCAUAACUCAAUACCUAUUUUGAUUGUCAACAGAUUAUAUAUUUAAUAAUUUAUAUAAUAUUUUAAAGCCACGUGUCAUUUUACAUUUAUUAAUGAACAAGUCUUAUGCAUUGGAGUAUAUCUUUAACAUUGAUUUUAAUAGGUAAUAUAAUAUUCUUUCAAUGUUCUGGUUGUUAAUUA